UGCUGACACUGGGUGGUCUGGCUGCGACAUCUGUCACCCCACUGACUGCCAGGGCUGAUUUGGCUGGCUAGGUGGGUGUCCCCUUCCUCCCUCUCCACUCCAUGUGCAUCCCAACCAAAGGUCAGUCAAAGAGGACGACAUAGAGGAGGACCAGUCUUCAGUCAAGGGUAUACGAGUAGCUGUGCUCCCCUGCAAGAAUCUCCAAACAAACUCUCUCAUUUAGUGAGAACAAAAGUUAACAGCAAGAGGGCUAACACCACUGUCAGGUCACAAGAAGUACACUAC
rnacentral:snRNA from 1 species